GUCUGAUCUCUGAUCGUUGCUCUGGUACCGAAGGCGUGCUUACGGUUAUCAAAGUCGAUGGUCAACAGGUUAGGACGGGUUAAAUUCGUUAAGGAUGUUGACGUAAUGGCUUUAAACGACCCGUCUUGAAACACGGACCAAGGAGUCUAACAUAUAUGCGAGUGUUCAAACACUCGCAUACAUGUUAG
rnacentral:rRNA from 1 species